GAAAACGGAGGCAAGCGUUAUCCGGAAUUAUUGGGCGUAAAGCGUCCGUAGGGGGUUUGACAAGUCUGGGGUUAAAGCCCGGGGCCCAACUGCGGAUCGGCCCCGGAAACUGUCAGACUUGAGUAAGGAAGGGGUUGCGGGAAUUCCCGGUGUAGCGGUGAAAUGCGUAGAUAUCGGGAAGAACACCAGCGGCGAAAGCGCGCAACUGGGCCAUUACUGACACUGAGGCACGAAAGCGAGGGGAGCGAAUGGG
rnacentral:rRNA from 1 species